AUGGGUUAUUCUGACAAGCCUUUCACUCUGCUGCCCUUUGGGAAAGCCAAGAAACCUCACGUUGAUUUAAGUCCUAUCUUGUCGUCCUCCCCGCUCAGAGGAUCAGCCUGGAUUUUCAAUCAACAGCCAGCUCACCUCAUGUGGCUAGCCGUGCGUGGGGAGAAGGACCAGGCUUGUUUUAAAAGACCGACUAACAGUACACCAAUGCGAUCUGCACCAAGGCCAUCCCCAAAUUCUGGUUUUGCAGUGUUUGCUGUAUGGACGCCUACUAGAGGGAAACAACAGCUGCAGUAUGCUGCCUGGGUUAGGAAGAUGCGAUACAGGCGAAGAUCCGUACUGAGGAGUGAGUGCACAGAGGGGCUCUGUGCAAUGUCCACGUCACUGCAGGCACUUUGCAGCAACGAAUCACUAAGCGAGCUCUGCAGAGGCUUUUUAUACCUUAUUCCGCCUAACACAGAGGAAGCAAACUGCUCAUCACAGCAAGUCGGCUUUGAGGAGGAGGGGACCCCAAUACUAAGCAUGUACUUUCCCUAUCAAGGAAAAAGAAAGCAGCAGCUCUGGCACAGACCAACUCCCAAGGAAGCGAAUGGAAGCUCUGCCCAAGCAAGGAAUGCACAAGCAUGGGCUGCAUCACUUCUGCAGAAAGCGCACUUCCAAAUAAACUGCAAAACUGAAUAA
ensembl:lncRNA